CCUACGGGAGGCUGCAGUGAGGAAUAUUGGUCAAUGGGCGGGAGCCUGAACCAGCCAAGUCGCGUGAGGGAAGACGGUCCUAUGGAUUGUAAACCUCUUUAGGCGGGGAGCAAUGCCGGGCACGCGUGCCCGGAGGGAGAGUACCCGCAGAAUAAGCAUCGGCUAACUCCGUGCCAGCCGCCGCGGUAAUACGGAGGAUGCGAGUGUUAUCCGGAUUUAUUGGGUUUAGAGGGUGCGUAGGCGGAUUUUUAAGUCAGGGGUAAAAUGUCCGGUCUCAACCCGGGCCGGCCGUUGAAACUGGGGAUCUUGAGUGGGCGAGAAGUAUGCGGAAUGCGUGGUGUAGCGGUGAAAUGCAUAGAUAGCACGUAGAACUCCGAUUGCGAAGGCAGCAUACCGGCGCCCGACUGACGCUGAGGCACGAAAGCGUGGGGAUCGAACAGGAUUAGAUACCCGGGUAGUC
rnacentral:rRNA from 1 species